rnacentral:rRNA from 1 species
AUACGGAGGGUCCAAGCGUUAUCCGGAAUCAUUGGGUUUAAAGGGUCCGCAGGCGGUCAAUUAAGUCAGAGGUGAAAGCCCAUCGCUCAACGAUGGAACUGCCUUUGAUACUGGUUGACUUGAGUUAUACGGAAGUAGAUAGAAUAAGUAGUGUAGCGGUGAAAUGCAUAGAUAUUACUUAGAAUACCGAUUGCGAAGGCAGUCUACUACGUAUAUACUGACGCUGAGGGACGGAAGCGUGGGGAGCGAGCAGGAUUAGAAACCCUAGUAGUCC